AUUGAACGCUGGCGGCAGGCCUAACACAUGCAAGUCGGACGAGUGGCGGACGGGUGAGUAAUGUCUGGGAAACUGCCCGAUGGAGGGGGAUAACUACUGGAAACGGUAGCUAAUACCGCAUACCAUCGGAUGUGCCAAGAUGGGAUUAGCUAGUAGGUGGGGUAAAGGCUCACCUAGGCGACGAUCCAUAGCUGGUCUGAGAGGAUGACCAGCCACACUGGCUCUGAGACACGGUCCAGACUCCUACGGGAGGCAGCAGUGGGGAAUAUUGCACAAUGGGCGCAAGCCUGAUGCAGCCAUGCCGCGUGUAUGAAGAAGGCCUUCGGGUUGUAAAGCACUUUCAGCGGGGAGGCGUUACCCGCAGAAGAAGCACCGGCUAACUCCGUGCCAGCCGCCGCGGUAAUUC
rnacentral:rRNA from 1 species